rnacentral:rRNA from 1 species
ACGCAGAGUCUCCGGCGUACAGCCAAUCUUUGGGGCAAUGGAACAAAUUGCCGCCCACUGUGAGUCAUAUUCAUCCUGACUUUCCAGAACCAUACGAAUCGCCCGCUGACGGACUUCGGGGGAAAAACGAGUAUUUUUAGUCAUCCUGUUUACCUCUUUCUCAGGGAGUUUAGUCUCCAGGAUUUCCGGGGCGGUUCACACACUUCACAUGGAUCUGUCAUGGCGGAAACAGCGGUUAUCAAUCACAAGAAACGUAAAAAUAGCCCGCGAAUCGUCCAGUCAAACGACCUCACUGAGGCGGCAUAUAGUCUCUCCCGGGAUCAAAAACGUAUGCUGUAUCUGU